AUAUAGUUCAGUGGUAGAGUGUGUGCUUAGCAUGCACAAGGUCCUGGGUUCCAUUCCCAACAU
rnacentral:tRNA from 1 species